ACAAACACCACCACUCUCCCAUCUCUCUCUCUCUCUCUCUCUCUUUCCCUAUCUCUGUGUCGCUCACUGUCUCGUCCCCCUUGAAGACAGGCGAGACUCUUGGGGGAUAAAGAGAUAAGAGUAUCAGAGAAACACAUAAACAAACCACUUAGUUGCAACCAACAAUUUAUGAGAAAAGUCUUUUGAAGAUAUAGCUUUAAUUCGGAUGUGCCAAGGAGCUACUCUUUUGAGGGGAAUGUUGUCUGGCUCGAGGACACUUUCUUUUAAUCCAUUUUCUUGCAUUAGUUUGUUCCUAUGGAUCUGAUUAUGAUAUUAAUGGAUUGAGCUUGUGCUAGUGCCGUCGGACCAGGCUUCAUUCCCCCCAAUUAUUGCUUCCAUACGGCACUCUGUAGCAAGGGCUAGAUUCUAGAUCAUGGACUGCAGCAUGUAAAGAUCUGGCUUUGAACUUUGGUAAACAUUCUCUCUUCUUUUUAGCGCCAUCCCUAGCUUUCUUCCUUUUUCAUUGCUCUAGGGUUUCAAGGUGGAGAGCUUGGCUCUUCCCUCAAAUGAAACUUUUUGAACAAAGCUUGACCUGGGUAAAGGAGCAAAGGUAAACAGAAAAGAAAGACUGGCCCUUUCUUUAACAAUUUCCAUGAAAAGUAUUUCUGGUAGUGAGGAGUAAUUACACAACCCAAUUCGGAAGAGCUUUAUAUUUGUGAGUGAUUCUUUGAAAUGAUGUUUAAUUUUCUUUAACUAACAUGGCUCUUUAUCAACUUUCUUUCUUUAUUGAUGUACACUAAUUAGAUCUGUAUUAUCCUUUACCUGCUUUGCAUGGUGAAGGAAGUGCAUUUAAGUAUUGAAUUUAAUAUGAUGCAGUAAUAAUUUUGAAUACCUCAGUUAUAUUUUACUUUAUUUAGAUUCUCUAGCUAGCAAGCUUGUGCUAUUGGAAUGAACAAUGGACCUUUCACUGUAAAUAUUGCAUGUCUCGUAGAGUUAGCGUGAUAGGACAAUGACAGCUUUUGUAAAUAAGAGCUGUGUCAAUGGAAGUGUGGGCACAGGUAUGGGUCUGAUUAAAGGAAACCCAUCACAUGCCUUGGGCUUGUCAUGACAUCUUAUCUAAAACCCUAAAUUUGAUCAUCAAGUUGUCUCUGUUGAGUGUUGAAAUUUGGUAAAAUGACACGCUUAAUUGUUCCAUCGAAUGCUAUCUUCUCUCCUCCCGGGUUUUAAAGAGUGAUGGGUUUCUCCUCCAGGGAUUGAGAUGUGCGCUUACUUCUCACGGUAUUUGUGUUCCUUACUACAGGGUUAAGGAACUUCGUGCAGUAAAGCACAUGCUUUAAUUAACAAGUAGAUAUCAUUUGAAGGAAGGGAGCUUUUCCCUAUGUUUGUGCUUCUUCAGUACAUUUUAGGGAAUUAGUGAUCAAAACGAGGUGUAAAAUUUUAACAUUUCCCAUCAUACUUUUUCCAUAAUUUGCUCUUGCUUUACUCUUGGAUGCUGAGGAACAGAUCACACGAAGAAACAGUUGAUUAGAAAGAUUGGCAGAGGAGAGUUUAUCUAGGGCCUGUAGGCCUUAGGCAACACGUAUCCGAGUAGCUUGUCACACCGGUAUUUAUUAUCUAAAACUCCUCCGCACUCUCUGUGCUUGCCGGCACCCCUACAUUGACCAACAAUCAGAUUCUUGUUCACAUGCUCACCAGAAGGUUUACCCAUGGACAACUUCUCUCAAUGCUUAUAGCGGUGAAAGUUUUGUGUAUUAAAAUCCUGGUUAGGAAUCUAGGAAACAAAUGUCAGGUUUUUUUUUAACACUCCCUACUUGUAUCACUUGUAUGUGCAUUGUACCUUGAGAGUAACAGCAUUAAUGAACCUACAUUCUAUCACUGGAUUUGGAUACUUA